CGGGAAAUCACAAAAAAACUUCAAGAUAUUUUUUAACAUCAUUGAAAAAGGGGAAAACGCUGAUAAGAGAAGAAGAUGAACUUGAAGACAAGUUUUGAUGAUGAUAAUAAAUGAAGAAAAGUUUAUGUCUUAUUGAUGAUGAUAAUUUAUGGAGAACUGUUGAAGAGUUAAAGAAUACUUAGAUUCAAGAGUGAUUUAUGGAGAAACAUUAAAGACUUAAGAGUUGUUUGGAUUCAAUAGUUACAUUAAAGACUAAAUGUUAAAGACUUAAAAAUUUAGUUGUUGAAGCCAUGUGAUCUUUGUAUAU
rnacentral:lncRNA from 1 species